UACGGAGGGUGCAAACGUUGCUCGGAAUCAUUGGGCGUAAAGCGCACGUAGGCGGCCCAGCAAGUCGGGUGUGAAAGCCCUCGGCUUAACCGAGGAAGUGCAUUCGAAACUACUGAGCUUGAAUACUGGAGAGGAUCGCGGAAUUCCCGGUGUAGAGGUGAAAUUCGUAGAUAUCGGGAGGAACACCAGUGGCGAAGGCGGCGAUCUGGACAGAUAUUGACGCUGAGGUGCGAAAGCGUGGGGAGCGAACAGG
rnacentral:rRNA from 1 species